rnacentral:lncRNA from 1 species
GUCCCAUUCUCUCCCUGUUGCCAUGUCGUUGCCUUUGGAUUUGCCACCUUUAGAGUUAAUUAAGAAUCGGGUGAGAGUGCGGAAUGCCGUUGCAAGCGAUGUCCGUCGAAGGUACCUAGCCCAUAAAAGGGAGAGAGCUAAGCACGUCGGUGCAUCCACUUCUCAUGGGGCUCCCCCUCCUUUGUUUCCUGCGAUCAGCCUCCCCUCUU